AUUGAACGCUGGCGGCAUGCCUUACACAUGCAAGUCGAACGGUAACAGGUUAAGCUGACGAGUGGCGAACGGGUGAGUAAUAUAUCGGAACGUGCCCAGUCGUGGGGGAUAACUGCUCGAAAGAGCAGCUAAUACCGCAUACGACCUGAGGGUGAAAGCGGGGGAUCGCAAGACCUCGCGCGAUUGGAGCGGCCGAUAUCAGAUUAGGUAGUUGGGGGGGUAAAGGCCCACCAAGCCAACGAUCUGUAGCUGGCCUGAGAGGACGACCAGCCACACUGGGACUGAGACACGGCCCAGACUCCUACGGGAGGCAGCAGUGGGGAAUUUUGGACAAUGGGCGCAAGCCUGAUCCAGCCAUGCCGCGUGCGGGAAGAAGGCCUUCGGGUUGUAAACCGCUUUUGUCAGGGAAGAAAAGGUUCUGGUUAAUACCUGGGACUCAUGACGGUACCUGAAGAAUAAGCACCGGCUAACUACGUGCCAGCCGCCGCGGUAA
rnacentral:rRNA from 1 species